rnacentral:rRNA from 1 species
CGGCGAGUGAAGCGGCAAAAGCUCAAAUUUGAAAUCUGGCACCUUCGGUGUCCGAGUUGUAAUUUGAAGAUUGUAACCUUGGGGUUGGCUCUUGUCUAUGUUUCUUGGAACAGGACGUCACAGAGGGUGAGAAUCCCGUGCGAUGAGAUGCCCAAUCCUAUGUAAGGUGCUUUCGAAGAGUCGAGUUGUUUGGGAAUGCAGCUCUAAGUGGGUGGUAAAUUCCAUCUAAAGCUAAAUAUUGGCGAGAGACCGAUAGCGAACAAGUACAGUGAUGGAAAGAUGAAAAGAACUUUGAAAAGAGAGUGAAAAAGUACGUGAAAUUGUUGAAAGGGAAGGGUUUGAGAUCAGACUCGAUAUUUUGUGAGCCUUGCCUUCGUGGCGGGGUGACCCGCAGCUUAUCGGGCCAGCAUCGGUUUGGGCGGUAGGAUAAUGGCGUAGGAAUGUGACUUUGCUUCGGUGAAGUGUUAUAGCCUGCGUUGAUGCUGCCUGCCUAGACCGAGGACUGCGAUUUUAUCAAGGAUGCUGGCAUAAUGAUCCCAAACCGCCCGUCUUGAAACACGGACCA